CACAGUAAAAUGAAAAGUGUUGAUUUUUUGGUGAUAUUUUUUCCAGUGUUGACUAGUGUUAAUUAGUGUAACUUACGGAGUUAAAUGAAUAUGCAUGUACACCUACAGUGUAAUUAAAACUCGCAAGCUAGUGUUUUAAGUGGGAGUGAAUGUAGGCGCACUGGGCUGGAGUUAUUUGAACAUCCGGUCCUUCAGUUUUUUGAAAAGAAGACGGACGCCAUUGAAGUUCAGCGCGGGAUAUGAAAAGGGUCGGCACCGUGGACUAAAAAAGUAUCUCACUGCAGCCUGUUCUUUUGAAAGUUUCAUUAAAGAAUUUGCGCUAGUAGAUUCUUCUACUCCAAAUUCUUCACUUUUGAGUGGAGUGGUAUGGGGUGAUAUGGACUCUUCAAACAAGGCACAUCAAUCCACUGGUGCAGGAGGUGAUAACACCUGCCAUAGGAGACGCAGCAGAGAAGGCCAAACGAAUGGUCCAGGAGGUUCUGGAAAAGAGUUCAGGGGGAGAGGAAAUAAUGGAGGAUUAUAGAAGAUCAAGCACCUUGAUUCACUGCACAAGAAGACUUCUUGUGAAUAUUCCAUCAGCCACAUGAUUGAAAUGCAUGGGAACACUUCUACGACCCUGCGAGUGGGACAGGCUAUGGCAUGGCGUCCAGAAACUGCGGCGAUGAGUGUCCCCGCGUUCGGUCAAGAACAACUCGGGGAGC